GACAAUUUGUGGUAACCUGAAGGUUUGUUUACUGACUAUUUAUUCUACUGAUUUGAUGCAACACCAUUCUUUCAUUUAAAGCCAUUUUGUUGCAGUUCAAAACCAUAAAUCUGAUAGACUCAUGUGCAUCAAGCAAUACCAUUAGUGAAUUCCAUGAAAUUUUUGUACAUUGUUGCUUAUGGGCUGCAAGAUAAUAAACUGAAGUAUCCUGGUCGAUAGUACCAGUUUUUGCAGUCUUAUGGUUUCCAUGUCUAUUGAUCUAUGCUGCUUGUGAGUUAUGAUGGAUGUUCUAUUCUUGCCUUGUCAUUUUCAUUUGUGGUUUUCUGAUUUCUUGGUUAUUUUGUUGUAGGACCUCUUUACCAUUGGACUUG
rnacentral:misc_RNA from 1 species